rnacentral:rRNA from 1 species
GCCUAUAAGUGGUUGAGCCUUGUUGCCAAGAAAAGUCUCUAAGCAUAACUUUCUAGUGCUCGUACCGCAAACCGACACCGGUAGAUGGGUAGAGUAUACCAAGGCGAACGGGAGAACUCUCGUUAAGGAAUUAGGCAACAUGACCUCGUAACUUCGGAGAAGAGGUGCCCUCUAGGGUGUUAAAGCCCAGGAGGGUCGCAGUGAAAUGGCUCUGGUGACUGGUUAACAAAACCACAGGUCUCUGCUAAGCCGUAAGGCGAUGUAUAGGGGCUGACGCGUGCCCAGUGCCGGAAGGUUAAAGGGAGAGGUUAGCGCAAGCGAAGCUUUGAACUGAAGCCCCGGUGAACGGCGGCCGUAACUAUAACGGUCCUAAGGUAGCGAAAUUCCUUGUCGGGUAAGUUCCGACCCGCACGAACCGCGUAACAAUUAGAGCACUGUCUCGACGAGAGACCCGGUGAAAUUGAAAUGGCUGUGAAGAUGCGGCCUACCCGCAGUAGGACAAAAAGACCCCGUGGAGCUUUACUGCAGUUUGGCAUUGUAUUUGGAUAUGAUCUGUGUAGGAUAGGUGGGAGGCUUUGAAGCUGGCGCGCUAGCGUCGGUGGAGCCAAUGGUGAAAUACCACCCUGAUCAUGUUUAGAUCCUAACCCCAUUCCGUAAUCCGGAUGGGGGACCGUGCCAGAUGGGCAGUUUGACUGGGGCGGUCGCCUCCUAAAAGGUAACGGAGGCGCCCAAAGGUUCCCUCAGGUGGAAUGGAAACCCACCAUAGAGUGUAAAGGCAUAAGGGAGCUUGACUGUAAGGCCAACGCGCCGAACAGAGACGAAAGUCGGGCUUAGUGAUCCCACAAUACCGAGUGGAAGGGUUGUGGCUUACCGGAUAAAAGCUACCCCGGGGAUAACAGGCUGGUGAGAUCCAAGAGUUCACAUCGACGAUCUCGCUCGGCACCUCGAUGUCGGCUCAUCGCAUCCUGGGGCUGGACAAGGUCCCAAGGGUCGGGCUGUUCGCCCGUUAAAGCGGUACGCGAGCUGGGUUCAGACCGUCGUGAGACAGGUCGGUCUCUAUCCACUGUGGGCGUAAGGGAUUUGAAGGGAGCUGCUCCUAGUACGAGAGGACCGGAGUGGACAGACCUCUAGUGUGCCAGUUGUUCCGCCAGGAGCAUCGCUGGGUAGCCAUGUCUGCAGAGAUAACCGCUGAAGGCAUCUAAGU